UCCCAUGUGGCAUGAACUGUAGUUACUGUACCCAAGUCCGACCUGCUUCCAUGGCAAAUGGCAAAGCCUCUUCGCGGGCAGCCACUUGGUCGAGACAAAUUUCGGUCCUCUCUUGAACGGAGAUUUCGUUGUAGCCUUUCGGGCCUUUUCUCACUCGUGGUGGAGUACGAGCAGCAAAAUCUCUCUCUCUCGCCAAUUCGGAAGAUUGGUUCGCGGCUGGUUUGGCAUAGGCGGUGAUUUCGGUCUUAUUUAUGGUUGCGUACUACUCCUUGAAAUGAAAGUACUGUUGAGCUCAGUUAUGAGCUGUUGAGCAUUUGUUUUCAUUGAUCGGCUUGCAACUAUGCGCAGCUGCUUUGCAGGAGUAUGAAUAAUUUCAUCAGCGAUUUUCUUGCUGAUGGAUGAUAAUUACCUUCUUGGGCCUCCUUGUCUAGUAAUGUGAACCUUAUUUUGCCCUCUAUACGUGACACUUGAGAAGUGCUUGGCCCUGCUGAAUCUAUUAUAGACAUUCUCUAUACCUUCUUAGUCCUUAAAGCAGCCAGUAUUUCACCAGUGACGACAACAAGGUGCUAGAAGCGUGACUCUGAGGAUAUUCCUUCUCCUAUCCGUUCAAGCAAGUGCAUCUGUACAAGGGAGAAGAUAGAAAAUCGAGGACAUGGAUGCCAGUUAAGAAACAAAGAGAGCAGUGGUGUUGCUGCUACCCUCUGCUGAUUAAUGGCUGGUAGGUGUAGGUGUUGCAAGCCAUUUCACGCUGUAAUGGAUCAUAAAUUCUCAGAAGCUGGUAGAUUUCAUUUCCAGAAAUAGGGCGUGCAUUGAAAGCCUUCCUUCUGAGCGUUUGUGAGCAAGUGAACUUGUACCAACAGCUCAAGAAACAAAGAAAGAUGAAUGGAUGGGUGAAACACGUGGAAAGAAGCUUGAAACUUGACAAAUUGGCAAAGGUGCAUUUCUGAAGUGGGCGAUUAGAACUAACAACAAGAGCAGAGGAAGGGAACUCUUUAGUGGGCGCUUAAUAACCCCCGAUCUGAUCGUGUUUGAGAUCCUUGUGAUCUGAAAUCCUUGAUUUGAAGUCGGACAUCCCAGCCAUGCCUCUCUUUCUCAAAAAAUCUGAUCUUAGAAGCAUUGUAUUCGUUCGUCACCACAUCUGACAAGUUUGAAGGAACUCAAGUCCACAGACCACUUCCUGACUGCUCUAAAAAAUCCGAUCUUAAAAUCAGACCCUAUCAACGUGAAAAGUGUGAAAUAUGAGUUAUGAACAAACGUCAUGUCCUGAGUUUCUGUAGAAUUCUUGGUCUCUUGUAUGACAUUCAUGCCACGUUAACUAGAGGUCUCAGUUUCACUCUUACGAAGUGAGCAUUUCCAAAUCAAUAAACGUGUGCCAAAGUUGUUAAAAUCUGU